UAGUCGUUGAGUCUCUCAUCCCCCCCUCUCUGUUUAUCUCUCCCGCUGGCUUUGAGCAAGAACUGGAGACCUCCGUUUGUCUCUGUGAGGUUAGGAAAUCAAUCAAAGAGACUGCCUUAAUUCUCUCUAAUGAUGAUGUUGAUGGUGGCAGGGCUUGGCAAGGCGAGGUGUAGGCUCGAUGCAUGGAGGUGGGACUGUGGGGAUGGUGUUGUAACAGCGGGGACUUCAAUGCGACUACGGUACCGUUGCCAUGAAGAAAAUGGUUUAUUUUGAUUACAUCCCCACUUAUCUAAAA